AAAUCUAAGAAAAUGAACAGGGUGGAAAUGAACAGAAGGAAAGCAAGAAAGAAGUGCGGUCAUCUGGAUGAUGAGGUCAGAAGUGAGAGCUAGACGGGAGAGCAAGUGUGGGAGGGGUUAAUAGACACACCGAGCAGAAAACAGUCUGCGGCAUGUUUGACUGUGGGACUCAGUGAGGGGGAGAAAUCUAAUUUGGCUCUGAGCUUUCUGGCUGUACUGAUUACAGCGAGAUACAGCCAGGAGCGGAUUCGGGAGGAAGCUGAUUAAUCUGGCAUCGGACACGCUGGGUGUGAAGGCUCAUGUUUCAUCCACGUGGAAGGCCUGGCAGACUCAAAUGAGAAGGAUGUACAAGUUCGGCCAACAGCCAUGCCUGUCUGGCUGUGUCUGCUAUGAGGGUGCAUGUGUACUGGAGGGAGCUGUGUUGGCACACAAAGAGGCUGUGGCACCAUUGCACCCUCAGGAACCAAAGGGAAUGGAAGAGGGAAUGAGGCACUACCCGGGUUUAUUCCAGAUAAGCCACUUCUAUUGGAAGUGGGCCAAGGGGAAAGAAGAUGUCCAAGAUCCAAUCUCAUGCUCGCUUGAGAGGAUUCAGUGUGGUUGGUUGGGAUCAAGGGGACAUGCAGGCUGCAGCCAGGAUCACAGGCCCAGGAUGCCUGCAUCCAGCUGCCCAAAUCGGACAUGCUAA
rnacentral:lncRNA from 12 species